rnacentral:rRNA from 1 species
UACGUAGGGUGCGAGCGUUGCCCGGAUUUAUUGGGCGUAAAGAGCGUGUAGGCGGCCAUACAGGUCAGCUGUGAAAACUCGAGGCUCAACCUCGAGACGUCGGUUGAAACCGUAUGGCUAGAGUCCGGAAGAGGAGAGUGGAAUUCCCGGUGUAGCGGUGAAAUGCGCAGAUAUCGGGAAGAACACCCGUGGCGAAGGCGGCUCUCUGGGACGGUACUGACGCUGAGACGCGAAAGCGUGGGGAGCGAACAGG